AGCGAACGCUGGCGGCGUGCCUAACACAUGCAAGUCGAACGUGAAAGGGAGCAAUCCCAAGUAAAGUGGCGUACGGGUGAGUAACACGUAGGUAAUCUACCCCAGAAUCUGGAAUAACCGGCCGAAAGGCUGGCUAAUACUGGAUAGAGCGACGGAAUCCGUAAUUGGGUUUUUCGGGAAAGGGAGCCUGUAAAAAGGCCUUCGUUCUGGGAUGAGCCUGCGUCCCAUCAGCUAGUUGGUGAGGUAAAAGCUUACCAAGGCAAUGACGGGUAGCUGGUCUGAGAGGACGAUCGGCCACACUGGAACUGAAACACGGUCCAGACUCCUACGGGAGGCAGCAGUGGGGAAUCUUGCGCAAUGGACGAAAGUCUGACGCAGCAACGCCGCGUGAGUGAAGAAGGCCUUCGGGUUGUAAAGCUCUGUCGAGUGGGACGAAAAUGCUUGGAGUUCACAGCUCCAGGAACUGACGGUACCACUAAAGGAAGCACCGGCUAACUCCGUG
rnacentral:rRNA from 1 species